rnacentral:rRNA from 1 species
UACGUAGGCACCAAGCGUUGUCCGGAUUUAUUGGGCGUAAAGAGCUCGUAGGCGGUGUGUCGCGUCGGCCGUGAAAACCUGUGGCUUAACUGCGGGCUUGCGGUCGAUACGGGCAUCACUGGAGUUCGGCAGGGGAGACUGGAAUUCCUGGUGUAGCGGUGAAAUGCGCAGAUAUCAGGAGGAACACCGGUGGCGAAGGCGGGUCUCUGGGCCGAUACUGACGCUGAGGAGCGAAAGCGUGGGGAGCGAACAGG